AUUGAACGCUGGCGGCAGGCCUAACACAUGCAAGUCGAGCGGAUGAUGGGAGCUUGCUCCUGGAUUCAGCGGCGGACGGGUGAGUAAUGCCUAGGAAUCUGCCUGGUAGUGGGGGACAACGUUUCGAAAGGAACGCUAAUACCGCAUACGUCCUACGGGAGAAAGCAGAGGACCUUCGGGCCUUGCGCUAUCAGAUGAGCCUAGGUCGGAUUAGCUAGUUGGUGAGGUAAUGGCUCACCAAGGCGACGAUCCGUAACUGGUCUGAGAGGAUGAUCAGUCACACUGGAACUGAGACACGGUCCAGACUCCUACGGGAGGCAGCAGUGGGGAAUAUUGGACAAUGGGCGAAAGCCUGAUCCAGCCAUGCCGCGUGUGUGAAGAAGGUCUUCGGAUUGUAAAGCACUUUAAGUUGGGAGGAAGGGUUGUAGAUUAAUACUCUGCAAUUUUGACGUUACCGACAGAAUAAGCACCGGCUAACUCUGUGCCAGCCGCCGCAGUAAUAC
rnacentral:rRNA from 1 species